UGGCUCCUGCUUUCCCCAGGGCAUCGGCAAUGUCCCCCCAGGACAGCCUGGUGCUCCUGAACCUGCAUCGUGGCCCAAAGCGGGGGAUACCAGAACUUCAAAAUCUAGCAAGUCUGGGGCUUGUGCGACUGAUGGAAAAUAGCAGAAUAUUUAGUUGUCUGAGUUGGGCUGAAAUGGAAAAGUAGCUGAUGAAAGUCAGUUAUUUCAGACCUUAUAAAUUGUGACUCAAACUGAGACCCUUUGAGCUCUCCUGGAUCGCUGCACACUGUGACCAGCACCUCCCCGGCACGGGGACAUCGCUCGGGCAAAGACCGUCUGCUGACAAAGCCAACGAAGGGCCAGGGCGAAGUCAAAUGUCUCAAGGCUCAGUUAUUGCCUGUUGAGGAACGCAGAUGCACUCUCCACCUUGCAAUACCUACACUUUGCAUCAUCUCGCAUAUUUUCAGCCGGCGGAGGCAGAAUGAAAUCAGCACGUUCUGGUUUUUGUUUGCAAAAUCUUCCCAGGGCAGUUACUGCCUUUCUCUUCUCAGCCUUCGUGUGAAAACUUAAUAUUUCUGCUGGAAACCUGGAGCCAUCUCCCUGUGUACGUACUUGUGCGUACGUAUAGUUAUAUAUAAAUCUGCCCAGCAGAACUCCCCGGAGCCAACGUACCUGUUUAGCACCUAAUGCUGACUCAGCCAGCUACAAGGCAGUGUAGCAACAAGCGUGGUAAUUGCUUUCUUACAAACGCCUGUUCCCAGAGGAAAAUCCUGCCCCGGCUGCUGCACCCCCGCGAGAGGCAGAUCCCCAGGGCCAGGAGAGCACCCAGCUCCACCGGGGAUGCUGCGGUGUGUUUCCCCGCUGAUGUUCCUGUUCUCUAAGCCCCCUCCUGGGGCUGGUUUCUCCAGCAGAUUAAACCUCCAGUGAUGGCACUUUCCAUGCCCUGAUCUCAGCAAAUCCAGCCUGGAGGUGUUGCCGUCCCGGGAAGAGAAGCUUCACCCAUCCAGCUGUUCAGACUGAGUUUGUGCCACCCCUUGUAUCGAAGAGCUAUUUGUGGUCGUGCUUCCUCAGUGACCCAUCGAGUUGAGGGGUUGGUGCUGGCACAGACUUGCCUGUGCCUCAGUGUCCCUAGUUUGUGCUGACCAGGCAGCGAUCUUGAGGGGUUUUUGGACAAAUGCAGCUCUCCUGCUACACGGACCCUCUAAAGUUGAGACCACCCUGUGGGGUGAAGAACUGGCUGUGUUUCUCACCACCAGGGAUGUUGGAAAGAACUGGUUUGGGGAGAGGGACUGAGUGCCAGUCGUCCCUUGAUGGGACUCCAGGGCUGGUUCCUCUUCUCCUGAGGAGGAAUCCCAGCCUGGAUUAUUCCUAGCUGCUCCCACCUGGCUCUGACACACACACACACACACACACAGAGUCAGAAACUGUAGGAAAACUCUUUUACUUCCCUCCCACCCCAUCCGCGACUCCCUCCCUGUGGCACAGACCAUGGCAGUGGGGAGACUUCGCCCCGGGAAGGCUCAGUUCCACCCUGGACACCAGAAACAAUCGCUAUGGAGGAAAGCAAGACUUAAAGCGGAGAAACGCUCUCGAGUGCGUUCCAGUCAGCGUGUGUCGUACAGCAGACCCACGCACACUAUACAGAGCACAGCUAUAGACACCGAGGAGUGUAUGUACAGGAGAAGUCGCCUGUCAACGUGGGAUCAGCCUCCGCGGUCCCUCCCGGCUCACGCACGGUGCCACCAGCCCUGCGGCACACAAGGAGGGCGAGGGGGACCCAAGGGACCCCUGAGGGGCUGGGUCUGACCGGCUCCUGUGUGCACGGGGAGGGGCUGUGCCAGCAGCCGCAGCAAAACCCAGGCUGCAGCAUCUCUACAGUGUCACUAUAAUAAAACCCUUCGCCGGCAUGUCCAGUAUAUACA